AGAGUUGUUCAGAUACCGAUACCAGUAUCGGAAAUGCGUCCGAUACUGCUCAUAAUUCAGGAUCGGGUAUCGGCGAGUGCUAAAAUGCU